UCAGCCAAACGGCCCCAAAAAAAUCGAAGCCGUCGCCUUUAUUCUCUUCCACAUUCACAGAACAAGAUGCAUAGUUUCAGUUUCAACCCUAACCCUAAUCUCUUUAAACCCUAUUCCCUUAUUCCUUGAAUAGUUUCUCAUUCAGAAACCUCGCUUCCUGUCAGCCGCCCUCGUUAAAAUCAAACAAUAUCCCUCUGCUGCUGUUUCUCUGUUUCGAGAUACACCUUUUCAUGCCUUUUCGUUGCUGGGUUGAAUCAUGAUGAGCGGUUUCGUUCCCACUGGAGCAGAGAGGUUGCAAACCUAAUACAGUAACUUACAACACUAUUAUCUAUAUUCCUGUAGAGGUUGACUCGGGAACUUAUUCUUCUCUCGCUCACACAACGUGCUAGUUAAUUGACUCAACUGGGCUUUUAACUUAGACACGGUUUGCAAAUUAGAAUGCAAAAAUUGUCUAUCUUGAGUUAGAGUUCUUAUGAAUGUUUGUUGAGAUUGAGUCAAAUUAGUUUGUGAUUUUAUCAAGGCCUCGAUGCUUUUUAUAAAGAGUUAAGUCUCUUAUCUGAAUCAUUAAACCGGGGAGGAUUCAAGGAGCUUGAAUUGGGUUUUGAUAAUUAGGAAAAGAAUUGGGAUUGGUUCUGAGAAAAUUGGGACCACUGGAAAUUCGGGUGAUUCUUCCGCCCGAGAUUGUAUGUUGGUGCAAAAGGGUCAUUCCUAGGUUUGGGUUGAAACAUCGAGUUAACUUGCUCAAAUUCGUGAGAUUGUUGGAUCUCGGGACGGGGAGCGUUAAAAUUUGGAUACAUUAACAAAGGUGAAGGGCCACUAUGAGAUUCUAAAACUUCGAGUCUCUUAGUUAGUGUAACUAAUUUGGCAUUGGUUACCACAUUAUUUCCUAUCGAGUGCGGCAUUGGUUACCACAUUAUUUCCUAUCGAGUGCAAACUCUUAGAGCUAGACGACUCAAUUGACUUUUUGGGUUCCCUAGUUGACCCCCACAACGAUUUAGUUCAUCAUUUUGCAUACAAAGUCAUACAUUUACGUUUGCAUCUGUAUCGAUUUCAUCCAAAGGUUGCAGCUAUCUGACUAUGGAGAAUGGUGAGUCUUUUGUUAUCUCAGUGUUGUCCCAUUAAUUUAUGUGUACAGUAAUCUUACUGGUAGGUUUGUUAUACUUACAAACAGGUCACAAGCGUGUACCUUUAGGUGCUCUAUCUCUUUCUUUCGCGAGGAGUGCUGAGUCUGACUAUUUCUUACUAUUUAUGACAGUAUGAUAUGUACUUGAAUUAUAUUUUAUUGAUGCAUAUGGCAAAGAAGGAGAAGUAAAAGUUGCAGAGCAUUUUGUUGAAUUUGUGAUUUAAAGAGGCCAACAUACUAUUGUAGUCACUUACCUUUUACUAAUGGAUGGAUACUGCUUGCUUGUAGAGAUAAGUUGAUGAAGCAUUAGUAGUGUUCGAAACCAUGAAGAGAAGGGCAAUGUUUCCUGACACUAUCAACUAUAAUAUCCUGAUUAACGGUUACUAUAAGAGUCUGAAAGUGGAUAGAGCACUAGACCUAUAUCAGCAAAUGCCCCUUGAAGGUUUGAGGUCGACUUACGACUUAUGGUACUAUUUUCAUACUGGUAGGCAUGUUGAAGCAUGGAAGUUUUUAAAGAGAAAAUGUUAAACCAAGGUCUUGAGUUAAAUAAAAUCACAUGAGUGUUAUGGUGCACGGUCUUUGCCAGAUCCAUUAUGUUGUGAAAGCAUUGUCCUUCUCUCACAUUAUGGGAUGAACUGGGUUGAUUCCUGGUAUAUGAUUCUUGGUAUAUGCAUAUGCAAUAUUCUGAUUUAUGGAUUAAGCAAGAAUGGACAUCUUGAAGAGGCAAAAAAGUCUUUUUGACAGCCUUCCUUUGGAAAGGUUCACAAUCUGAUAAUGUUAUGUUGAUAUGAGGAUUGUGCCAUGAAGGUUUUCUUGAUGAAACGAAUGAAGUAUUUAAGGAAAUGGAAUCAAAUGGUUAUGGUGGAUGAUGUUAUGUACAGUGACUCGUGGCUAUUUUCACAAUACGAAAUACAAUGAAGCACACUCAUCAAUGAGAUGUGAUUCAUACUCGCGCCUUCUCAGCAGAUGCAUUUACCGCCUCCUUGAUACUGAACUUGCUUCGCUCAGAAGAAAAGGAUAUGCUCUUUCUGCUUUGCAUAAGAAGUUUUUCCAAAGUUAUAACACAUAAAGAUUGCUAAGGUACAUCAUCUUUUCUAUUUGCCAAACUAUUCAAGAGUUUACAACCAAGUUUGUAGGCAGGACUCCUUGUAAAUGUCUUUCUCUGCCUGAUUACAAAUGAUUAGGUUUCAGUUUAAUAUAAAUGUAUUUGCGUGGACUUUUUGUUUAUAGAAUAUUAGAAUGUUAAUUUGCCUUGUUGUCUUUGACACUUUGUUACGUAAGAUGACUAAAAGAUUUGAUAUA